UGGGGAAUAUUGGACAAUGGGGGGAACCCUGAUCCAGCCAUGCCGCGUGUGUGAAGAAGGCCUUAUGGUUGUAAAGCACUUUAAGCGGGGAGGAGGGUACUGGUAUUAAUACUACCAGGUACUGGACGUUACUCGCAGAAUAAGCACCGGCUAACUCUGUGCCAGCAGCCGCGGUAAUACAGAGGGUGCGAGCGUUAAUCGGAUUUACUGGGCGUAAAGCGUGCGUAGGCGGCUAAUUGAGUCGGAUGUGAAAUCCCCGAGCUUAACUUGGGAAUUGCAUUCGAUACUGGUUAGCUAGAGUGUGGGAGAGGAUGGUAGAAUUCCAGGUGUAGCGGUGAAAUGCGUAGAGAUCUGGAGGAAUACCGAUGGCGAAGGCAGCCAUCUGGCCUAACACUGACGCUGAGGUACGAAAGCAUGGGGAGCAAACAGG
rnacentral:rRNA from 1 species